GAUGAACGCUGGCGGCGUGCCUAACACAUGCAAGUCGAGCGUGAACCGUCUGAAUGAAACUUCGGUCGAGUGAGGAUGGGGAAAGCGGCGGACGGGUGAGUAACGCGUAGGCAACCUGCCCCGUACAGAGGGAUAGCCUCGGGAAACCGGGAUUAAGACCUCAUAAUACCAUUAUCUCACAUGUGAUAAUGGUCAAAGAUUUUAUCGGUAUGGGAUGGGCCUGCGUCUGAUUAGCUGGUUGGUGGGGUAACGGCUCACCAAGGCGACGAUCAGUAGCCGACCUGAGAGGGUAAUCGGCCACAUUGGAACUGAGACACGGUCCAAACUCCUACGGGAGGCAGCAGUGGGGAAUAUUGCACAAUGGGCGAAAGCCUGAUGCAGCAACGCCGCGUGAGCGAGGAAGGCCUUUGGGUCGUAAAGCUCUGUCGAGGAGGAAGAUAAUGACGGUACUCCUCGAGGAAGCCCGGCUAACUACGUGCCAGCAGCCGCGGU
rnacentral:rRNA from 1 species